rnacentral:lncRNA from 1 species
UUUAGCAACAGACCCUCUGCAUUCUAAGUUCUGUCUACUGUGAUUGUGGAGUUUUCAGCUCCCCUUUUGUGCUUUAUGCUAUACUAUGAGCACUUACAUUUUCUGCAUGUUCCACCUUUUUGCAUCUUUCCAUACAUUUGUUGGAUGCUUCUAUGCCCUGUUGUUUCCUCUUCUUCAUGACCCCUUGGAUCACCCUGUAAAAACAGAACAAAACAGAGAUAUGAAGUAUCCAACUCCAGGUUUCGAGCAGAAUAUAUAUAAGAUAAACCAUGAAAGAUCUGUCAAAUGAAAAACAUCACGCAAGCAAUCAAAGACUGAGUAUGUUUCAGAAGAUCUAGUAGUUAACUCAAGAGCCUAUGAGUCAAAGAGGGGACAUGUUCACCAUUUAGAAGCUCAGUGAGGCAGCAGUGGUGGAGCUGCAGCCUCCACAGGCUGCUUAGGAACUGCUGCAAG